UGUUUUUCUUUUAUCUUGUACAAUUUUGAUUUAUAUUUUCUGCAGAUCUAAAUCUGCACACCUUUAAUUUUAUUUUGGUUAUUUCGUAUUCAUGGUCUCUCUACCUUAAAUUUUGACAUGGUUAUUUCAUAUUUCUAGACUUCGAUCGUGCACUUCAAAGAUACUUCAUGAAAGAAACUUUUUUCCAUAUUCACCUUCAAAAGUCAUGUAAAGAUUUGAUUUUUGGUUUAUUUUCAAUGAAAAAGGGCUAAUUUGUGGAUCUUGAACUACUUUCUGGUAUUGAAACUGCAGAAAACAACGACAAGAAGCGACAUAUUAUCUCCAAUUAUCUUCCUUUGAAAAUGCUGUAGCAAAACUCAAGGCUGGCGGUGAGAGAAAGUCAGCCUUCCUUGGGGUUGUUUUGAAUCAAAUGGGAUUGUCUCCUAUUCAGUUAUUCAAAAUAGGAGAAGCUGUUGAAUUAUUUGAGGAAGCAAGAUAGAUUCCGGAACAGGAGUGUGGUCCUUGUCAUCAAAAUACCAUUGGUGUUUAUAGCAAUCUUGCAGCAACUUAUGAUGCCUUGGGAAGGUAAUGUCAUUUUUGAAAAUGUUGCCUUAAAUGCUUGAAUGAACCUUGCCGAUUAAUCCACUAAUUUAUUAAAAUGGCAUUGCAUAUAUGCUAUUUUUCUUGUAACAUUUCGAAGCUAUUAUCCCCUAAUUGAUUAGCUUUCAUUUUGAGAAGAAUUAUUAUAAUCAUUUUUUAGUGCUUA